rnacentral:misc_RNA from 1 species
AACGCAUCUUGCGCUCCUUGGUAUUCCGAGGAGCAUGCCUGUUUGAGUGUCAUUAAAUUCUCAACCUUACUAGCUUUGUUGUGAAGUAAGGCUUGGAAGUGGGGGUUUAUUUUUGCUGGCUUAUCACGAGUCGGCUCCCCUGAAAUGCAUUAGCGGUUGUCUUUGCCGACUAUUCAGUGUGAUAACUAUUUACACUGCUUAGGCGUGCUUCAAAGCCUGCUUCUAACCGUCCGCGUUUUCGGACAGCAACUUUGACAAUUUUGACCUCAAAUCAGGUAGGACUACCCGCUGAACUUAA